GCGGAGCUUACCAUGCAGUCGAGCGGAACGAUGGUAGCUUGCUACCAGGCGCCGAGCGGCGGACGGGUGAGUAAUACUUAGGAAUCUACCUAGUAGUGGGGGAUAGCACGGGGAAACUCGUAUUAAUACCGCAUACGACCUACGGGAGAAAGGGGGCAGUUUACUGCUCUCGCUAUUAGAUGAGCCUAAGUCGGAUUAGCUAGAUGGUGGGGUAAAGGCCUACCAUGGCGACGAUCUGUAGCUGGUCUGAGAGGAUGAUCAGCCACACCGGGACUGAGACACGGCCCGGACUCCUACGGGAGGCAGCAGUGGGGAAUAUUGGACAAUGGGGGAAACCCUGAUCCAGCCAUGCCGCGUGUGUGAAGAAGGCCUUUUGGUUGUAAAGCACUUUAAGCAGUGAAGAAGACUCUUCGGUUAAUACCCGGAGACGAUGACAUUAGCUGCAGAAUAAGCACCGGCUAACUCUGUGCCAGCAGCCGCG
rnacentral:rRNA from 1 species